ensembl:lncRNA
CCCACUAGGUAGUAUUAUUAUCUCUAUCUGAUAGGGGGGCAACCUGAGGUCCAGAGAGGUUAAGAAACUUGUCCAGGGUCACAUGGCUAAUAAAUGGCAGAGUCAGGGGACAAAGCAGAGCUCUCCUGCUCCCAAACUUCUUGUGGAACCACUGCACCCAUCCUGUCAUAAUGACCCCCGUACUCUCUGUCCAGCCUCCUGCCCACCAGGACUCCCCCAUCCUCGCUUUGUGGGGACUCACACACUUGCUGGCUGACCCCCAAGGCUGGUCUGGCACAGUCUUGGCCUGGAAGCAGGGUGAGCCAGGCAGGAGGCUUCUCCUCCUCCCGGGACCCCGGCUUCUCCUCUCCGAAGAUCCCCCUGGUGCCUCAGGCUGUGUAGACACCUGCUGAUUUGAUGAGACUUUUGCCGAGACAGCACCGAGGGCCGUGGCCGCCUCCGACAACCCAGCCGCCGACACGCGGAAUGUCCCUCCCUUUUGGAAAUCGUGGUAGGGAGCUGGCUAGUCCCUGUGUCAGCGGAGCUGCGGACGACUUUCCAGAUUUUUCCAGCAACUCCUUGCUACAGAUCGUCCUGUGCGCAGAGGCUGUGUGUACGUGUGUGCAAGUGCGCCUGCUCAGGAGGAGAAGAUUGAAUCGGACAGCUUUGAGACAGAGCUGGAAUAGUAGGGACGUGGGGGAAGAGGGAAGUCCCAGUGAUGUUCUUCUGGCUUCACAAAGAAAGCUCACAAGUAGCUCUACCUUUGAGGAAAGUGAGAAGUCCGUGGAAACAUUCAUAGAGCAUGGCAGCAGAUGGGAAGCAGGACAAGCAGCCGGAAGCUACAGACGCUUUCGGGACAAAAGGUGACCUCGGAGGAGAUGGGAAUCCUGGCAGACGCCCUUGUCAGAAGUGACGCUCAGGAGGAUGGCUCGGCUGGGAGGUGCAUCCCCGCCGGGCGGCCACUGUGGGAAUGCGGAGCACGCCCUUCUCCUUAUCUGGACUUUUGGAAAGUCUCCAGUUUGCAAGCUUGCCACCGGUUGACGAAGAGGUUAGAAAGAGGUCUGGAGAAGCCCAAAAGGAGUCGUUUGUCACGGAAAAGGGCAAAAGAAGAGUGAGGGGCAGAGGGAGGGUUGCCAUCCCCACGGGCACGUCCUCAGGUCAUCCUCACAGACAAUGAGAUGGGUAUUAUCAUGGUCUGAUAAGUGUCAGGAGGGAAACUGAGGCUCAGAGAAGUCCACGAUGUGCCCAAGGUCUGCAUCGAGGGGGGCCGGGGGCUGCACGUGUGAGGAUGGGGAUUGUGGCUUCCUCGGGGUGUCUGGGAGACCCAGGGUCCGGGGUGGGCCAGUAUGCCUUCCUCCAGUAUGUCGCUGCCGUAACAAAUGACCGUAAGCUCGGUGGCCUGAACAACACAACUUUAUCACCUGACUUCUGGAGUACAGAAGUCCGAAAUGGCUCUCACUGGGCUAAAACCAGACAGAGGCCAGCAUCAGGUGUCCGCAGGGGGCAUCCUUUCAUACAGGGAAAAUCUGCUGCCUUUUCCAGCUUCUAGAAGCUGCCUGCUUUCCUUAGCUGUCUCCAUCUUCAGAGCCAGCACGUUGGCAUCUUCCAAUCUCUAUCUGACUCUAGUAUUCCUGCCUCCCCCUUUCACUUAUGAUUACAUUUUUGAUGAUGAUUAUGAUUACAUUUUGAUGAUUCCCUUUUGAUUAUAUCGGGC